rnacentral:lncRNA from 1 species
UUCGAUCAUCGAGUAAAGGCUCAAUCUUCGUGGCGGAUUGAAUUCAUGAAGAAGACAUAUAAAUGUGUCGUGGAAAAGGUCGGAUGAGGCGCUGUUUUGGUUGUUUGUUUUUAACCUUUCUAUAGUUUCCUUUCUGCUUCGUUCGCGAUGUCAUAGUGAUGCCAUUACUUAUCUAUAGCGUCAAAGACUUUGGUAUUUGGUCAAAUAUGCUAUUGUGUUUUGCUUUCAGAAUUAUGUGUUGCUAUCAGUGGUUAUGCUUUUAUUUUGGUUGUUGGAUUUGGGAUUUGCUUAGUAUAUUUAUGAAGAAGAGGAACACGACGGGUUCGUGUUGGAAUAUCAAUGUUGUUUCUUCUUGGAAUUUGGUUGGUUUCUUGUAGAUUGUUGCUAAAAGAUUCGAGUUUGAUGUUUCUUUGUUUCUGUCGCGCCUUAGUCGGGGCAGAGAGUGAAUCCUUAGGAGGAUGAAAAUAUGUUUGUUCAUCGUUGCUGAAGAUUCGAUUAUGGUGUUCUUUGAUUUGAUCUGCCUGUUGGAAUUAGUUAUGUAAUCAAGGUUCUGCUCUACUCGUCCUUUCUGAACCCUAUUCCUGCUUUUUCUUUCCUAAUGCCUCAAUGAUGUGGUCUAAUUACUUAAUCGAAAUUAGGGUUCUUGGCAUUCGGUGCAAUGUUCUAAUGUCUAGUUUUGGAAGCUUUGUGAUGCCAGUUUUAGGGUUUCCGAAGAAUAUGUGAAGUGUUUAUCUACGUUGGUUUAAUGCAAAAGGUGCGUUGGAAUUUAACAUUGGUUGCAUGCUUGAAUCAGAGUUUUUGUCCUUUAAUGUGAGCGACAAAGACUCAGGUUUUUCCUUGCUUUUCGUUUUCUUCCCCCCUUUCCUUUGCUUGUUGGUGUUAGACGGAUAAUCAAAAUUUUGCUUGAGUUGUACUUUUGAUGUUUUGUUUUGCUUUAUUAGUUGUAUGAUUAAAGUGCUGCUCUACUUGUCCUUUCUGUAGUCCAUUUCUGCUUGUUCUUUCCUGAUGCAACCAUGUGGUCUAAUUCCUGCAUCAAAAUUAGGGUUCUUGGCAUUCGGUGCGAUGUUCAAGUGUCUAGUUUUGUAAGGUUUGUGAUGCCAAAUUUUACUUGUCAUGUGAGAAUGAAGAAUUUCCAAAGUGUCGUCUACAUUUGAUUAAUGCAAAAGGUGCAUUGGAUUUCACUCUUAGUUUGCAUGCUUGAAUCAGAGUUCUGUCCUCAAGUUGACUGGCAAAGAUUUAGGUUGUUUUUGCUUGUUGGCAUUAGUUGUUUAAUCAAAGUUCUCUGAGCUGUACUUACAAUGUUUUUUGGUGUCUCCCGAUGAUGGUGUCUUGUUCAUUAUAAUGUCAAAUUAAGACUUUGGUUUUUUUUGUGAGAUAUGCUAAUUUAUUACCAUAUGGACAUAUACAAUGCUACUUUUUGAUGCUUCUAAAGCUUGUUUCAUCUUAGCUCAGCAUCUUAGAUAAAAAGAUUCCGGUAUGUCUUAACUUGAUGGUUGGGAAGGUGACACUAAAAAUAUGAUAGGGAAGGUGACACUAAAAACAGGAAUAAUCUUUGUAUAUGAACAAAUGCUAGAAGACCAUGAUAUGCAGCGGAAUUAAAUGGAACCGCAAUCAAAUAGAACACCAAGAUAUACAUGGAAAACCCUUUUAAUAUGAAAAGUAAAAACCGCGGGGCAAACUAGAGAUAAUCCACUAUGAGAAUAAUGAAUAUACAAAUCUCAAUCUCUUGCCCUAAACCCUAGCAAUAAUCACAAGAGAAUAACUGGGAUACAAUGAUCAUGUCACUGUCCACGAUAUCCAAAACCUCCCCAAGUAAUCACAGCAAGAGUCUACUAUAGAUUUGAUCUAACCUGAGAUGAGAACACUGCUAGAUGAUUGAGAACAGUCUCUCUGCGUUGUCCUUGUCUUCUUCCCUUUCUUUCUCUUUCUUUUCUAUCUUGUUUUCCUCCUUUUCUUUGGAAUCCCGUGGCUAUAUCCUUCUCCCACGUUGCUGCCCUAUUUAUGCCUUUUUCUGUCUCCAAAACGCAGUCACCACACCCCCCCUAAUGUUAAUUAGGGUUAGGUUAAGAGGGGGUGAGCUAUGGGCUGCCCAAGCCCACUAUGGGCUGAAUUUGUGGGCUGCCAGCCUAACAAUCUCCCCCUUCAGACCAUAAGGGAGGCUGUCCCAUGACUCCUCAAUGUGAAGUCAUGCCGACCAGCUGUCGGCAUAUCUCCUGUCUUUCUUUUGGUAAAGUUUUUAUCAAUAUGUUUGCUUCGUUGUCAUCUGUGUGAAUUUUCUGAAGCUGCAACUGCUUCUCUUCAAAUACAUUUCGAAUCCAGUAGCAUAUGACAUCUAUAUGCUUUGACUUGGAAUGAAACAUUAGGUUCUUAUACAAAUGGAUGACACUCUGGCUGUCACAAUGCACCACAUAAUUUUCAUAUUUCAGCCUUAAUUCUUGUAAGAAUUCUUUCAUUCAUAACAUUUCUUUGCAUACCUCUGUAGCAGCAAUAUAUUCUACUUCUGUGGUGGAGAGAGCAAUACGCCUUUGCAACUUGGAUUGCCAUGACACAGCUCCCCCUGCAAAAGUAAGUACAUAACCUGAAGUAGACUUUCUCGUAUCUAUAUCUCUUGCUAUAUUUGCAUCUGUGUAACCUGUCAACACAUGUGGUCCACCUCCAAAGCUUAAACAAACCUUAGAGCUCCCUCUGAGGUAUCUAAAAAUCCACUUCACUACUACCCAGUGCUCUUUGCCUGGAUUUGCAAGAAAUCUGCUAGUAACACCAACUGCAUAUGCGAUAUCUGGCCUCGUACAUACCAUUGUAUACAUUAAACUUCCAACUGCUGAAGCAUAAGGAACCUUUUGCAUUUUCUCCUUUUCCUCAUCACUUGAUGGACUCUGUUCUGAGCACAACUUGAAGUGACCUGCAAGAGGAGAACCAACUGGUUUUGCAUUGCUCAUACUGAAUCUUUACAAUAUCUUCUCGAUGUAUUUCUCAUGUGACAACCAAAUCUUCUUAUUUUUUCUGUCAUGGGAAAUCUGCAUAUCUAGUAUUUGCUUUGCUGGCCCCAUGUCCUUCAUUGCAAAAGACUCACUCAGUUCCUUUUUCAAUCUGUCAAUUUUAGACAUAUCUUUUCCAAGAAUAAGCAUGUCAUCAACAUAAAGUAAGAGAAUAAUAAAAUCCUCACCAAACAAUUUGAUAUACACACAAUGAUCUGAAGUUGUUCUUUUGUAUCCAUUUUCUAUCAUAAAUGAAUCAAACUUUCUGUACCACUAUCUUGGAGCUUGCUUUAGCCCAUACAAGCUCUUCUUCAAUUUGCAGACAAAGUUCUCUUUACCUUUAACUUUGAAGCCUUCUAGUUGCUCCAUAUAAAUUUCCUCCUCCAAAUCCCCAUGAAGGAAAGCUGUCUUCACAUCUAAUUGCUCAACCUCCAAGCCCUGGCUAGCAGCAAUACCUAGAGCAACACGAAUAGAAGACAUUUUAACAAUAGGAGAAAAAAUCUCUUCAAAGUCAAUACCUUUCUUUUGACCAAAGCAUUUCACAAUCAAUCUAGCUUUGUACUUUAGUUGAGAACAAUAUUCUUGAGUCUUCAACCUGAAAACCCACUUGUUCUUCAAGGACUUCAUUUCAUUUGGUAGUAGCAUCAAAUCAUAAGUGUGGUUAUUCUAAAGAGCAUCAAUCUCUUCCUGCAUAGCAACUAACCAUUUCUCUUUCUGCUCACUUUCAACUGUUUCCUGGUAACUCUCUGGUUUACCUGCAUCAGUAAGCAUCACAUACUCAUCUGUAGAGUAUCUUUUGGAAGGUUGACAUUGUCUAGAAGAUCUUCACAACGGAGGUUCUGCGGGAAGUUGCUCUCUAACUUCUUCUUGCUCGACAUGUCCUGCAGGUAGAUCAACAUCAGACUCUACACUAUCUUCCUGCACAUCUCCCCCAUCACCCUGAUAUAUUGGAGGAGUAAUUGGGUCACAAUCUGCUAAUCCUUCUGUAGAAGUAUUGGCUGGUGCCUUCUUCUUCAAAUCUUCAAAAGUUUGAUCCUCAAAGAAGACUACAUCUCUACUUCUAAACACCUUCUGCUUUUCUGGAUCCCAAAGUCUGUAACCAAAAUGAUCAUGUGAGUAGCCAAGAAAAAUAUAUUCUUUAGACUUACCAUCUAGCUUGGACCUCUCAUUAUCUGGAAUAUGUGCAAAUGCACAAUAACCAAACACUCUCAAAUGCUUGUAGGAAACAUCUUUCUCUAACCAUACAUGCUCUACAACAUAACAUCACCAUCUAGGGUUGUACAUUGUCACGACCUUAGCUAGAAUUGCCUAAGGUGUGAGGCACGCUUGCGGCCAAAGACGCGAAUUUAGCCUGCGUUGCCUAAGUCACGAGUCACCCUUGCGACAAAGACGCGAACUUAGCUUGCGUUGCCUAAGUCACGCUCCGCCCUUGGGAUAUUGCUCCGUAAGGAUCAGCCCACUUGUAACCUCUCACAGGUCCCGAAGGACCUGUAAAAAGAUAAAGUUGAUUAGUUCGAAAGAACGAGCGACGGACAAGUCCCGACGUCUCGCGAAAAGGGGAAGCUUUACAAGCAAUUCAGCGAGCACCUUGCGUGCACAAGAGAAAAUAGGGAGAGGGGGAAAACAAGGGCUUUAGAAGCUUGAAUGAACAGCUGCAAGCCCACAAACAACCGCUCACCUGGUCCCGGGCGCGACAACAAGUUCCUGUCAAGACAAUGUGCGAACUUGCGAAAGAGUGUUCAACGCCCGGUAUAUAUCUGAAGCCCCAUCCAGCCCUGUGCCACCCGGGGGGUUCAAAGGGGCUGAGAUGGCUGAUGUUUUGGUGAGCGGAGGCAGAUUCCAGAAAUCAGCCCGCAACACGCGAAAACGAAGCUGUUUUGGGCUGUUUUGCUCGGUUCGGUGAGCGGUCGCUUGUAACACUGCAGCUUGUUCGAACUUAUAUUUUUACAAGAAAAAUGACCCAAAAGCAAGAGAAAAUAUGUUGUCAAGCAACUGUACAUGUAGGUGUGAGCGACGAACGGUUCGUUGAACGGAGUUGUUGCGAGUGCACGACGACCGUUCGGGACAUUCUCCUCCACUUAAACUGUUGACGCCCUCGUCGACGCUUGUUGGUAGUUGUUGAUGAUUUCUUCUUCAUGUCGCAGGGCAUCUUCAGGCUCCCAAUUGGCUUCAGUUCGGGGAAGCUUUCGCUACUUCACCAAGUACUCUAUCUGCUCAGCUCCGUUGGAUAGCUUUAUCUUGCCGUAUGCCAUAAUGGUUUCAACUUGCUUCUCGUAGGAGGCUGUGAUGGGAGGUAGCUGAGUUGGAACACUUCGGGCAGCAUCUUGCGGAUCCGAGUGGUAGGCUUUUAGGUUGCUGGCGUGAAGAAAGUUGUGAAUUUUGAACCACGUCGGUAGCUACAACUUUUAAGAGACGUUGCCUACCGUGCUGAUAAUUGGGAAGGGCCCUUCAUACUUGCGCACCAAUCCUUUGUGGACUUUGUUCCUAAAGAAUUGGAGUGAUGCUGGUUAGAGCUUUACCAACACCAAAUCGCCAACUUUGAACUCUUACGGUCGCCUUCCCAAGUCUGCCCACUUCUUCAUCCUUUUUGCCACCUUCUCCAAGUAAGCCCGCGUAAUAUCUGCAUUUUGAUGCCACUCCUUUGCGAAAUGGUAGGCUGACGGACUACUCGCAGUAUACCCAAUGGCCAUGGUGUGCGGAGUCGACGGUUGUUGUCCAGUUAUGAUCUCGAAGGGGCUCUUAUUGGAUGCAGAGCUCCGAUGCAAGUUGUAGGAGAAUUGGGCAAUAUCCAAUAGCUUCACCCAAUCUCGUUAGUUGGCACUCACGUAGUGACGAAGAUAUUGCUCCAAGAGCGAGUUUAUCCUUUCAGUCUGGCCAUCUGUCUGGGGGUGGAGGCUUGUAGAGAAGUAUAACUUUGACCCCAACAAUUUGAAUAGCUCGGUCCAGAAUCGUCCCAGGAACCGAGCGUCUCGAUCACUAAUGAUAUUGUGCGGGACUCCCCAAUACUUCACCACAUCCUUCAUCAUCAGCUUGGCCGCCUCCUCUGCUGAACAGUGUAGGGGAGCAGCAAUGAAGGUUGCAUACUUUGAAAACCGAUCGACCACCAUGAGUAUCGAUCUGAGUCUCCUUACAAGUGGCAAGCUUGAUAUAAAGUCUAAGGAAAUGCUCUCCCACGGCCUUUCUGGUACGGGCAACGGCUCCAAAAGUCCCACCGGCUUCUGCUACUCCACCUUGUCUUGUUGGCAAGUAAGGCAUGUUCGAACAUAUUCCUCCACAUCAGUCCCCAUCUUCGGCCAAUAGAAGGCCCUCUCCUCGAGAGCCAACGUUCUGUGAAUGCUUGGGUGUCCAGCCCAAAGGGAAUCGUGACACUCUUUUAAGAGUUCACGCCUCAAAUUGUCCACUCGGGGAACAUAAACCCUAUUCCCUUUUGUGUAAACGAGUCCAUCCUGGACCCAAAAUCGUCGUGCCUUGCCUUCUUUGAUGAGUUACAUCAGGAUAACUGCCUGGGGGUCACUAUACAGUCCAUCCCUGAUUCGGGAAAGGAAGUUGGAGUGCAACUGACUUGCUUGGCCUCUAUCCUCCAGUUGUACGACAUUCACACAUUCCACUUUCUGACUCAGCGCAUCGGCCACGACAUUCGCCUUCCCGGGCUUGUACUCCAUUGCCAUAUCAAAUUUAGCCAGGAAGUCUUGCCAUCGCGCCUGCUUUGGGGAGAGCUUCUUCUGAGUUUGGAAAUAGCUCAGGGCGAUGUUUUCCGUCCUCAGCACAAAUCGCGACCCGAGGAGGUAGUGUCGCCAAACUCGUAGAUAGUGGAUCUCUGUUGUCAUCUCCUUCUCAUGCACUAGAUACCGCCGCUCGGUCUCGUUGAGUUUGCGGCUCUCGUAGGCCACCGGAUGACCUUCCUGCAUGAGUACUCCCCCAAUAGCAAAGUCCGAAGCGUCUGUAUGGACUUCAAAGGGCUCUCCAUAGUCCGGCAAUUUGAGCACCGAUUCUUCCAGAACAACAGCCUUCAGAUCUUGGAAUGUUAUUUCACAUCUGUCAGACCACUUCUAAGGCUGCUCCUUCUUCAGCAACUCCGUCAGUGGAGUUGCCCGCUUCGAAUAUCCCGCUAUGAAGCGUCGAUAGUAUUUGACGAAACCAAGGAAGGAUCUCAACUCUGGCACCUUCUUAGGAGUUCGUCAUUCCGCAACUGCUUGCACCUUCGACUUAUCCAUCUGAAUGGAGCCAUCACCGAUUCGAUGCCCCAAGAAUAAGAUCUCAGUUUGGGCAAAGUAGCAUUUCUCCUUUUUCACGAACAAGGUGUUCUCCCUGAGAACCUUGAAAUUUGUCCGAAGGUGUUUGACAUGCUCCUCAAGCGUUUGACUGUAGACGACGAUAUCGUCCAAGUAGACAAUCACGAACUUAUCCAAAUACUCCUUGAAUAGCUGGUUCAUGAGAGUGCAGAACGUGGACGGAGCGUUGGUUAAGCCGAAGGGCAUCACCAAGAACUCAAACGCUCCAUACCUGGUCACACAAGUAGUCUUCGCUUCGUCGCCUUCAGCAAUGCGUACCUGCCAAUACCCCGACCGAAGGUCAAGCUUCGAGAAAUACUUAGCUUUUCCCAACUGGUCGAACAAGUCCGCGAUGAGCGGGAUGGGAUACUUGUUCUUCACUGUCACUUUGUUAAGGGCUCGGUAAUCGACGCAUAAUCGGAGGCUCCCAUCUUGUUUCUUCUGGAAGAGAACUGGAGCUCUGAAAGGUGCUUUAGAGCUGCGGAUGAGACCACUACUUAGCAGUUCACCUAACUGCUUUCUGAGUUCUGCCAACUCUGGCGGCCAUGCGGUAGGGUGGUCUCGCUGGAGGCUUCACUCCUGGCUCCAGCUCAAUUUUAUGAUCCAUGCCCCUGCGUGGUGGAAGAGUCUUCGGCAACUCAGGUGGCAUAAUGUCAGUGAACUCUUUCAGGACGUUCGCCACCACAGCAGGUUCAUGAUUGGCCUCCUUGUCGAGUGGCUCUAACUUCAUAGCCGCCACGAAUGUUAGUUUGUCUUUUCGUACCCCCUUCUUCAAUUGCAAUGCCGAUAUGUGUUGGGGCUCCUUGGUUCAUCUCCGAGAGACGGGAACCACGCAGGGGUCGUCACCUCCCAUCAUACAUAGGGAGUUCAAGAAUGGCAUUGGCACCAACUUCACCGCGUGCAUAAACUCCAUUCCAAGAAUCACUUGGAAGUCAUCCAAUGGCACGACCAUCAUGUUGGUGUUCCCGCUCCACGUCUCGAUUUUGAUGGGAACUCCCUUCGCUAACCCGGAGAUUCGCCUGGCCUCCGAGUUCACCGCCUUCAUUCGGCUUGGGCUCUUCUCCAAGAUCAACCCAAGUCACUGUGCUUCUCGAUCAGCUAUGAAGUUGUGGGUAGCGCCCGUGUCCACCAUUGCACGGGUCGUUUGGCCAUUUAGCUUGAUGUCCACAUACAUCAGCUCACUUCUUCUUGCUUUUUGUAACUUUGUCUUCAUAUUCUCCCCCACGUGACUCCGCAUAGCGUUCAACAAAAGCAUUGCUCCCAUUCAGGGUCCUUGCGACUCCUCGUCGUCGCUGCUGGAUUCAGAACUGCUCGAACUAAGAGCAACAGCUUUGCCCUUGUCCGAUCGGGGGGGGGGGGGGGGGGGGUGGAUGGAAGCCGUCAAAGCAUUGAGUGCCUGUUUUUGUGGGCACUCCCUCACCAUGUGUGGUCCUCCGCACAAGAAACAUCCUCCAGGUUUUGAGGCCUUGCCUUUCGGGUUCGGCCCUUUGUGGGAACUCUUCUUCUUUUGCUCGCCCCCGAGCUCCUUCCCUCGAGAAUGUUUUGGAGGGCGAUUGCCUGAAGAUUGUUUCCUUCUUCCUGGGUCUUCAGAGGAAACAAAGUCGGUGAGCCUUUUUGCAGUAGCAAUUACCCCGACGACAUCAGUAACAUUCCUUCGAUUUAGCUCCUGUUGAGCCCAUGACUUCAAACCAUCGAGGAAGCUGAACAACUUGUCCUUCUCAGACAUGUCCUGUAUGUCCAGCAUUAGUGCAGAAAAUUGUUUCAUAUAGUCUCGGAUGGUGGUACUCUAGCGGAGUUGUCUCAACUUCCUUCUUACGACGAACUCUGUGUUCUUCGGUAGGAACUGAGUUCUCAACUCCCGCUUCAAGUCCUCCCAUGUGUCGACUCGACACCAACCUUGUUGGAUCUCCUCCCAACGGGUUCGCCACCAAAGUUUCGCAUCUCUGUUUAGAUACAUUGUUGCUAUAGAAACUUUGGUAUCUUUAGAAUUGGGCCUCGUAGCUCGAAAGUAUUGUUCCAUGUCGAACAGAAAGUUCUCGAGCUCUUUGGCAUCUCUGGCCCCUCCAUAUCCAUGAGGCUCGGGUGCCCUCAAAUUUUGUGGCAGUGCAACACGGGUGUUGCUUCCUCCCGCAUUUAGUGUUCCUGUGAGCAUGACCACCUUUGAAGUGAGUUCCGCCACAACAUCCUAUAAGUGUUGCACGGAGUCUUUGGUGUCAUCAGACAGUCGGUCAACUAGGGCCUCGACCUUGUCAAUCCUAGACUUCGCUUCCUCUUGCGAGCUCUCUACCCCAACAAGCCUUUGUUGGCCAUGGUAGAGUUCCUCCAUGCUCGCUUCAAGAACAUCCAGGCGGGUUUCCGUCGUUGUGAGUCUCUCCUUGUGACUCUUUUUCCCAGUUAGCGCUCCAGAUUGCGCUUCCUCCGCUCGCGGAGAGUAACCAACUUCUCGCUCAUCAUGUUCGCUGUCGCGCUCCUCUUGAGUGGCUACAAUAGCAUGAGAGCGAGUGUGCACAUGCAGCCCACCUGCGGCUGCUUGGGGCAAGGGUCCGGCUUGCCCCAUCUUGCUUGAUUCGCCACGAUGCUUUGCCAUGGAGAAGUUACGAAGUUCGUUCGCUGCUCGCUCGAAGUGCUUGCCCGCUCUGAUAUCACAAUGUCCUGGCCUUAGCUGGAAUUGCCUAAGGCAUGAGACACCCUUGCGGCCAAAGACGCGAACUUAGCUUGCGUUGCCUAAGUCGCGAGUCACCCUUGUGGCAAAGACGCGAACUUAGCUUGCGUUGCCUAAGUCGUGCUCCGCCCUUGCGAUAUUGCUCCAUAAGGAUCAGCCCACUUGUAACCUCUCGCAGGUCCGAAGGACUUAUAAAAAGAGAAAGUUGAUUAGUUCGAAAGAACGAGCGACGGACAAGUCCCGACGUCUCGCGAAAAGGGGAAGCUUUACAAGUAAUUCAGCGAGCACCUUGCGUGCACAAGAGAAAAGAGGGAGAGGGGGAAAACAAGGGCUUUAGAAGGUUGAACGAUAGCUGCAAGCCCACAAACAGCCGCUCACCUGGUCCCGGGCGCGAUAACAAGUUCCUGUCAAGGCAACGUGCGAACUUGCGAAAGAGUGUUGAACGCCCAAUAUAUAUCCGAAGCCCCAUCCAGCCCUGUGCCACCCAGGGGGUUCAAAGGGGCUGAGAUGGCUGACGUUUUGGUGAGCGGAGGCAGAUUCCAGAAAUCAGCCCGCGGCACGCAAAAACGGAGCUGUUUUGGGAUGUUUUGGAGUUGUUUUGCUCGGUUCGGUAAGCGAUCGCUUUGUAACGCUGCAGCUUGUUCGAACUUACAUUUUUACAAGCAAAAUGACCCAAAACCAAGAGAAAACAUGUUGUCAAGCAGUUGUACAUGUAGGUGUGAGCGAUGAACGGUUCGUUGAACGGAGUUGUUGCGAGUGCUUGACGACCGUUCGUGACAACAUGGUGAUAAGUUGAUCACAUCAACUGUAGUCCUCAAAGCCUCAUCCUAAAACCUUUUGGGUAGCUUGGCCUGUGAAAGCAUAUAUCUGAUCUUUUCCAUGAUGGUGCGGUUCAUCCUCUCUGCAAUUGCAUUAUGCUGAGGUGUACCAAGAACUGUCAUCUCAUGUUAGAUCUCAUGUGACCUGCAAUAGUCAUUAAACGAUCCUGUAUACUCACCACCAUUAUCUGAUCUUAUGCAUUUCAAUUUCCUUUUUGUCUCCCUUUUAAUCCUAGCAUGAAACUCUUUGAAGACAUUAAUUACCUGAUCUUUAGUCUUCAAAGCAUAGGCCAAACUUUUCUGGAAAAAUCAUCUAUAAAAGUGACAAAAUAAAGUGCACCACUUAUACCAAGAACAUCAACAGAUCCAUCAUGAGUUUUUGUCCUCAAAGGACCACAUACAUUUGUAUAAAUACAGUCUAAGACAUGCAUUUUUCUAGAUAAAACAGGACUAGCAAAUAAAACUCUAUGUUGUUUACCUGCCAAACAAUCAAUACAAGGGUUCAGAUGUAUACCUUUGAGGUCUGGUAAUAUCUCUCUUGGAAAGAGCUUGCAGCCCCUUCUCGCUCAUGUGUCCCAAUCGUCUAUGCCACAACUCCAUGCUGAAGUCUUUUUCUGUAGCAUUUAACUGCUCACCAUAAGCUUUAACCUGCAACCUGUACAAAGUAUGACAUUUCUUUCCAUUAGCUAUAACAAGAGAACCCUUACUGAGCUUCCGUUGCCCUUUGUGAAAUCUGCUUUCAUAGUCUUCAUCAUCUAGUCUUCCAACUGAAAUUAGAUUCAGCCUCAAGUCAACCGCAUGCCUCACAUCCUUAAGCCACAACUUGCAGCCAAGGUUGGUCUUUAAAUGGAUAUCACCCAUGCCUAUGAUGUCUACUGUGUCAUAGUUGCCCAUCUUGACAACACCAAAAUUUUCAGACCUAUAUGUAGCAAAAAACUCCCUCCGUGGUGUAGCAUGAUAAGAAGCACCUGUGUCAAUCACCCACUCAAGAUCCUGACACACACAAGAAAAAAUAUCAUCAGAAGGAGAUAAAAUCAAAUAAUCACCACCCUGCAUUAUAGUUGUGAUAUUAUCUUUUGACUCUAUAGACUCCACUUCUUUUCCCUUUUUUUUGCUCUUCUUAUGUUGCUUACAUUGGUUCUUGUAAUGUCCUUUCUCACCACAAUUGUAGCAAACAAUAUCUUUUCUUGAUCUUGACUUGCUUCUACCCAUGCAUGAAUUGCUUCUAGACUUUGACCUUCCUCUAUUCUCUGAGAUAAAUGCUUGUGAAUCAUUCUGAGAUGUUGCUGAACUCUUUCUUCUCAACUCCUCAUUCAACAAACUGCUUAUUACUUGACUCAUAGUGACAACACCAUCUGGCGUAGAAUUACUAAGGGAAACCACCAGUGUCUCCCAACUUUCUAGUAAUGAACUGAGAAGUAACAAUGCUUGCAACUCAUCAUCAAGAGACAUUUUCAUAGAAGAUAACUGGUUAGUAAUACUUUGUAUUUCAUUCAAAUGUUCAGCAAUAGAAGCACCCUCUCUAUAUUUUAUGUUCACAAGUUUUCUAAUCAAAAAAGCUUUGUUGCUAGUUGUUUUUCUUUCGUAGAGACUUUCCAACUUUUUCCAAAGAGAAUAUGCAGAAAUUUCAGUAGAAACAUGGUGAAAGACACUAUCAUCAAGCCACUAUCGAAUAAAUCCAAUUGUUUUUCGAUCUAACAUCUUCCACUCAUCAUCUGUCAUAGUUAUGAGUUUUGCACUAUCCCCCUGCAAAGGUCCAUAUAAAUCUUUGCAAUUCAAGAGAUCUUCCAUUCUUGGUUUCCAUAUCAUCCAAUUGUUUCCAUUUAAACUAAUCAUGCGAGAAACAUUACUGGCCUCCAUGUUCAAAUACAAAAUUUAAAUCACCAAAACCUCUUUUGCUCUGAUACCAGUUGAUAGGGAUAUAAACAGGAAUAACCUUUGUAUAUGAACAAAUACUAGAAGACCAUGAUAUGCAGCGGAAUUAAAUGAAAUCACAAUCAAAUAGAACACCAAGAUAUACGUGAAAAACCCCUUCAAUGUGAAGAAUAAAAAUCACGGGGCAAACUAGAGAUAAUCCACUAUGAGAAUAAUGAAUAUACAAAUCUCAAUCUCUUGCUAUAAGCCCUAGCAACAAUCACAAGAGAACAACUGAGAUACAAAGAUCACGUCACUGUCCACGAUAUCUAAAACCUCCCUAAGUAAUCACAGCAAGAGUUUACUGUAGAUUUGAUCUAACCUGAGAUGAGAACACUACUAGAUGAUUGAGAACAGCCUCUCUGCGUUAUCCUUGUCUUCUUACCUUUCUUUCUCUUUCUUUUCUGCCUUGUUUUCCUCCUUUUCUUUGAAAUCCCGUGACUAUAUCCUUCUCCCACGUUGCUGCCCUAUUUAUGCCUUUUUCUACCUCCAAAACAUAGCCACCACACCCCCCUAAUGUUAAUUAGGGUUAAGUUAAGAGGGGGUAAGCUGUGGGCUGUCGAAGCCCACCAUGAGCUGAAUUUGUGGGCUGCCAACCCAACAAAAUAUACUUUUAUAGUUGUGGGGCUGAUCAUAAUUCCAUCUUCUUUGCAUGUCUCUACCAAUAUUUUUCUACAGGUAAGGUGAAUGUCAUUCCAUGAUGGGUGCUGGCUCUGCUGUUGACGGUGGCUUCUAAAUGAACUUUGGUGAAAUUGUCCUGAAGACCAAAGCAUUAGCAGAUCUUGAUAUUUGUGUUUUUAUAUGAGGUACGUUACAGAUUCAUGAAAUCUAUACUUUUGUUAUGUUUACAGAAGUUUGUAUAAAGUUUGGUGUAUGAUUAUCCUCGACGAAUGUCCUUUCAGGUUCUCACAUCUGUGUAGCUUAUGUUCGUUGAG